UACAGAGGUCUCAAGCGUUGUUCGGAUUCAUUGGGCGUAAAGGGCUCGUAGGCGCCAACUAAGUCAGACGUGAAAUCCCUCGGCUUAACCGGGGAACUGCGUCUGAUACUGGUUGGCUUGAAUCCGGGAGAGGGAUGUGGAAUUCCAGGUGUAGCGGUGAAAUGCGUAGAUAUCUGGAGGAACACCGGUGGCGAAGGCGGUUCUCUGGGCAUGUCCUGACGCUGAGGAGCGAAAGUGUGGGGAGCGAACAGG
rnacentral:rRNA from 1 species